UCAGCCUAGCCCAUGUAGAGAAAAAACAGAGAAACCUGUAUCGUUGUUUCAAGCUUCAAGUCUCUUGACUCUUCCACUUCGCCUUCUCCGAUUUGAUUUGUUUUUGCGUAACCUUCUCAAUCAUUAAUCAAUAAUGAUCUUAAAACCAUCCUUGAAUGUUUCUUUUCACCUCCCUUGAUCCUUCUCUUAUAUAAAUAUAUGUCUUAAUCUAAAUCAAAACCUAUUCUGAAGAAGCUACAUCCAUGGCCAUGCAAUCCACCGGAAUUCUAAGCUCAGCUGCCGUAGAAGCUACUUCACCAUUGAAUCAUCAUCAUCCAGGUUCUUACCAGGUUACAGCUAUCACCGUUUUCAACCCUCCGAGAAUCUCCGGUAAAAAAAAUCAAUUCCCGUUGACGGAGAGAUUGUGAAGAAGAUGAUAUACAUAUUUAAACUCAGAUUUCAAGUGAAGAUGUUGGUUUUCUGAAGAAGAUAUGCCUUUGUGUGAGGCACAACGAGUGUUUGAUGGACAGAGAUACAAAGAUGGGUUCAGGCAGAAAGGAUAUGGCUGUGAACAACAGGUUUACGAGACUGCGUAUGAAGACCGAGCCAAGUAUGAAACUAUGGCUAGCGAGAACAACUCAAAUAAGAAAAGAAUGUUGUUCUUAGAUGGGUAGUAGUAUUCCACCGAAUAUGAAACUCCUAUUGCCAAUAGAACAAGGAGCUAGCUCCAUGUAAGUUCUUUUCUUCCAGAGUAUUUACCCUAAAUUACACCGUCUAACUCCACAGUAAGUUAUUUAUGAGCAUCACAAAGUAGAAACUUUCCUCACUUGACUGGAGGACAAUCUAAGACUAUUAGACUGGACAAGCGAAAGUUAACAAUUUUCUUUGACAACCCCAACAUCGGGAAAUGAAAGGAAGAAGCCUUUUGUUGGGUCCUUCUCAUGCAAAAGGAAUCGUCCGUCAGAAAACGUAAGAGCUAUAUAUGAAUUUGCUUCUUUAUCUGCUUAAUUUUAGUGUGGACAGUGGUGUUGAUGCGUGAGUCUUAGUGUUCGAAUAUGCAACGGAAUCGAGGUUAAGCAGCCUAACUAUGUGAUCGGUAAGUGUGCUAGAGUACAACUUAUCAAGAAUGGAAAGAAGGACGAGUUCUUUAUUUCUGGAUUUGGUCGUAAGAGUCAUGCUGUAGGAGAUAUUCCUGGAGUUAGGUACAAGGUUGUCAAGGUUUCUGAUGUUUCAAUUUCAACUCUCUACAAGGGAAAGGAGCAGCCAAAGUCUUAAACAAAGUUUCAAGCUUUUGAAUAUGAUUUUGAUGUUAUAAGUACUUAUAGGUUGUUUGGUUAAAAAUAACUCUUAUGUUCUGUUCUACUUUAUGAUUCAAGAACUGUGUGUUCUCGAUGAGUUUUUGAGUUUAGCAUGUACCUUUUCUUUUAGUCUGUACCUUAUACUGUUAUUCGCUU